rnacentral:rRNA from 1 species
AUUGAACGCUGGCGGCAUGCCUUACACAUGCAAGUCGAACAGCAGCACGGGAGCUUGCUCCUGGUGGCGAGUGGCGAACGGGUGAGUAAUACAUCGGAACGUACCCUGAAGUGGGGGAUAACGUAGCGAAAGUUACGCUAAUACCGCAUAUUCUGUGAGCAGGAAAGAGGGGGAUCGCAAGACCUCUUGCUUUAGGAGCGGCCGAUGUCGGAUUAGCUAGUUGGUGAGGUAAAGGCUCACCAAGGCGACGAUCCGUAGCGGGUCUGAGAGGAUGAUCCGCCACACUGGGACUGAGACACGGCCCAGACUCCUACGGGAGGCAGCAGUGGGGAAUUUUGGACAAUGGGCGCAAGCCUGAUCCAGCCAUGCCGCGUGAGUGAAGAAGGGCCUCGG